AUUCGGAUAAUUCAAGAUAAUCGCGGGAAAUUAGGAGCAAGGCUAAGUUCUUGAUCUCGUUUAGCACACAAGUUGUCUAUGAAAAUAUCGAUGCGGAAACAUUGAGAAAGGCCAAGGGCAAAUUUGAAAAUUUGGAAAAUAGUUUUCAUGAACAACAAACAUUUGUCAUGGAAUAAAAUGGGCUUGGGAUGAAAAAAAAAAAAGAAGGAAAAGAGAGGUUUGGGCUUGAAAAAUAGCCAAGGUGGCCGGCCAAGGUGCUUGGGCUAAGCCCACAUGGGAAUUAAUAUAUGCAACUAAGAAGAUGACAAAUUCAUCAUCUUUUCUCAUCCAUAGAGAAUUCUAGAAUUUUGGAGAAAAAAAAAGAAUAAGGCCAUGUGUUUAUAUUCUUAUACUUGAGGGGCUUAAAAAUAAAUAUAGAUUAAUGGUGGAAGAAAAGGAUAAAUAAGACAUGUUUGUCUUCAUCUUUAGAAAGAUGAAAAACAAACUUGAAGAAGGAGAAAAACCACUAAGGCCAUUCGGCCAUGGAGGAGCAAAAUUGCUCCCUUGAAAUUUUGACCAAAAAAAAUUAUUUCUCCUAGCAUUCCUACCAAUUAGAAGGUCCUCUUUAACAUGGUAAAAUUGUUAAAGCAAGAAUCCCUCUCUUUGUUGCAAGUUCACAACUUUAGCCAAGAGAGAAGAUAAGUGGAAGAGACUAGCAAGCUUGGACAAAUAAGCGUAGCUAAUAAGGCGUGGCACAGGUACACCCAGAUAAGUGGAAAAUAUUACAGAAGAUGUUCCAGCGAAGUUGGCAAGCUCCGUUUUGUUCCUGGAGUGUUGCCAGGUCAGAGUAUUAUGUUAUGAUGUUUUGUUCGAAGUUAGAGACUUUGCAGACAGCGUCGUGGGUAUUGGUCGUCAAUCUCUUCGGGAAGAUUGUUACUUGCUUUCGCAAUGCAGCCAUUGAUGUCCACUCAGUAUGCCUUCCUCCCUCCAAACUGAAUUUCGUUGCCUUCCUCACUCAGUAUGUGUUGAUCUAUGGCAUCUUAGGUGGCCAAAAAAGCAGAAUUGCAUUUGCAAAGAUAACUUUCAAAAAGCCUCACAUAUUGCUUCUUGAUGAGCCAUCAGAUCACUUGGAUCUGGACGCUGUGGAGGCCCUGAUACAAGGUCUUGUCUUGUUCCAAGGAGGCGUACUGAUGGUACUAUGAGACUUCUGUCAAUGUUCUUGGCUAAAUGGAAACAUAACGGGUGACCCCUUUCGACGGGACAUUCCAUGAUUACAAGAAACUACUGCAAUCAUCAUAAACAGUUAUAACAAAGGUUGAUCAUUUCUGAAGUGGACGAACUAUUAUUAGUUACUUCAUGGAGUAGGACCCCUACUGUAUAUGCAUGAAAAUGACAAUUUAACAGUAGGCAACAGAUGGAGGCAGAAAAGCAGCGAUGCAUUUAAGUUUUUCACACGAUCUUCAUUUUGUUGUUUUGAUAGAAGUGAUCAUAGUUGUCAUUUGUCCAUGUGAAUGUUUUAAUCGUUUUAUUUUUCCUUUUAUAAAACCAAAGACAUAUUUGUCAUGAUUUGAUCUUGUGUAUUUAUCGAUUAAAACGUGUCAUGAUUAAUUAAAAUGCCUACAUGACAUGGCAAUUAAGGGGUUUUAUGGAAAACAUAUAUGUGAAUU